CUCGUGCCACGGUGUGGCCCACAUGUCGGACCUUUGCCGGCGGCCAGGGAAAAAGCCGCCGGCAAAGGGCGGGCACGUGGCACGAUCUGGUGCGUGCCCGCGCUCAGCCUUUGCCCGCGGCUAGGACUGUGGCCGCCGGCAAAGGGUUUUUUUUUGUUUUUUUUUAUCGCAGCAAUUUGAAAAUUUUCAUAGCACAUAUACACAGAUAUAUAUUCAUCCACGUCACAGCAAUACAUCCACACAAAAUCAUAGACGCAUCCACAUAAGCAUUCACAUCACAAGCAUAUAAACAUCACAUAUCUCACAACAAAAGUAUUACAAGUGUUCAUCACAUGGUAGCAACAUAUUACAAGGUAGUGUUCAUACACAACAAGAUGGUGACUCGGGCACCUUCAACAUCCACCACCCAUUGCACCAGUAGAAACCUAUAAAAUGGAGUUGGAAUAAGCAUAAUUAGAUAUAAAUAAAGUCAAUGAAGUGACAAUUGUAGUAUUUGAAGCGAAAUUUAGCCAUUUGGCUCAAAAAAGUUGCAAUGGAAUCAUUUUUUAGCAAAUAUGGCUCAUUUGGCUCAAAAAAUGACCCCUAAAUGCUCUAAAAUGGCACGAUGG
rnacentral:lncRNA from 1 species